rnacentral:rRNA from 1 species
UACGGAGAGUGCUAGCAUUAAUCGGAAUUAUUGGGCGUAAAGGGCGCGUAGGCGGUUUUGUAAGUCUGAUGUGAAAUUCCGGAGCUCAACUCCGGAGCCGCAUCGGAAACUACAGGACUUGAGGUUUGGCGGAGAAAAUGGAAUUCCACGUGUAGCGGUGAAAUGCGUAGAUAUGUGGAAGAACACCGGUGGCGAAAGCGAUUUUCUAGCUUAUACCUGACGCUGAGGCGCGAGAGCAUGGGGAGCAAACAGG